AUUGAACGCUGGCGGCAGGCCUAACACAUGCAAGUCGAACGGUAACAGGAGGAAGCUUGCUUCUUUGCUGACGAGUGGCGGACGGGUGAGUAAUGUCUGGGAAACUGCCUGAUGGAGGGGGAUAACUACUGGAAACGGUAGCUAAUACCGCAUAAUGUCGCAAGACCAAAGUGGGGGACCUUCGGGCCUCAUGCCAUCAGAUGUGCCCAGAUGGGAUUAGCUAGUAGGUGGGGUAACGGCUCACCUAGGCGAAGAUCCCUAGCUGGUCUGAGGGUAUAACCAGCCAGACUGGAACGGAGACACGGUCCAGACUCCUACGGGAGGAAGCAGUGGGGAAUAUUGCACAAUGGGCGCAAGCCUGAUGCAGCCAUGCCGCGUGUGUGAAGAAGGCCUUCGGGUUGUAAAGCACUUUCAGCGGGGAGGAAGGCGGUGAGGUUAAUAACCUCACCGAUUGACGUUACCCGCAGAAGAAGCACCGGCUAACUCCGUGCCAGCAGCCGCCGUAA
rnacentral:rRNA from 1 species